rnacentral:rRNA from 1 species
AACGAACGCUGGCGGCAGGCCUAACACAUGCAAGUCGAGCGGACAUCUUCGGAUGUUAGCGGCGGACGGGUGGGUAACGCGUGGGAACGUGCCCUUUGCUUCGGAAUAGCCUCGGGAAACUGGGAGUAAUACCGGAUGUACCCUUUGGGGGAAAGAUUUGCUGGCAAAGGAUCGGCCGGCGUUGGAUUAGGUAGUCGGUGGGGUAAGGGCCUACCAAGCCGACGAUCCAUAGCGGGUUUGAGAGGCUGAGCAGCCACACUGGGACUGGGACACGGCCCAGACUCCUACGGGAGGCAGCAGUGGGUAAUCUUAGACAAUGGGGGAAAUCCUGAUCUAGCCAUGCCGCGUGAGCGAUGAAGUCCUUAGGGUUGUAAAGCUCUUUCACCGGGGAAGAUAAUGACGGUACCCGGAGAAGAAGCCCCGGCUAACUCCGUG